rnacentral:tRNA from 1 species
UUAAUUGAAGCCAAAAUAUAGAGGCAUUUUAUUGUUAAUAAAAAUAAUGAAUUCAAUUCCAAUUAAA